rnacentral:rRNA from 1 species
GGUAAGGUGAUAUGAACCGUUAUAACCGGCGAUACCCGAAUGGGGAAACCCAGUGUGACUCGUCACACUAUCAUUAACUGAAUCCAUAGGUUAAUGAGGCGAACCGGGGGAACUGAAACAUCUAAGUACCCCGAGGAAAAGAAAUCAACCGAGAUUCCCCCAGUAGCGGCGAGCGAACGGGGAGGAGCCCAGAGCCUGAAUCAGCAUGUGUGUUAGUGGAAGCGUCUGGAAAGGCGCGCGAUACAGGGUGACAGCCCCGUACACAAAAGCGCAUGUGCUGUGAGCUCGAUGAGUAGGGCGGGACACGUGGUAUCCUGUCUGAAUAUGGGGGGACCAUCCUCCAAGGCUAAAUACUCCUGACUGACCGAUAGUGAACCAGUACCGUGAGGGAAAGGCGAAAAGAACCCCGGCGAGGGGAGUGAAAAAGAACCUGAAACCGUGUACGUACAAGCAGUGGGAGC